rnacentral:snoRNA from 1 species
GCCAUGAUGAUCUGAAAUCAUAAUGAUAAAAAUGAUUUGAUAUAUUAUCCUCUAAGAAGAUCUGAGCUG